UGCCGCAAGCGAUAAAACCUUUAUCCCAUAAAAUAUCGAGCCUCUCAGACUCUAUAAUAUAUGUAUGUAUUUACACACGUCCAUACUCCCUAUAUAAAUUCAUGGGUCUAUAUAGGGCUACUACGCUCGCGUCCAACGCUCACGUCACGCCUUAAUGCGGUGCUACACUACGCCAUUAAGGUGGACAGACGGGUGUAUAAAUAUGUGCCCAUACCCCCUAUAUGAAUUAAACACUCAUAUAGGGCUACUACGCUUACGUCCAACGCUCACUCACAUCAUAAUGCGGCUAUAUGUUACGCCAUUAAGGUGGACAGACACAUAUGGCUAGCUAGCAUUUUCUAUACAUACUCUCUCAUAUAUACAUAUUUAUAUUCACCGAAAAUCCCAUUUUCGGUAACUCUCUCUCAGAGAAAUAAAAGCGUCAAAAUUAAUUGACGGUAAAACUCCAACAAAAGGAAAUGUUCAAUCAUGAACCAUAGCAUGCAUAUUAUUUAAAAUAAACGUCCACUCACUAAUUAGGCCUAAGCCUGAUGUCGAUCUGGGGUCUCGUCUGCUCGAGCCUCCUCACGUCCUGUUCCAAAUAUAAUAUUAAUUUCCCAACCAAUAAUCCAAUAUUUAAUCAAAAUAGGCAAAAUUACCCGAGAGCCAUAAUUACGCUCAUUAUUGCCUAACUUCGAUAUUCUUACAUCGGAACGAUCCGAACUUAAAUAUCAUACUCCACAGUCGUAAAUAUAACCUCCCCAAAAUACAACUUAAAUCCUACGGCCGGAUUCUACAUUAAUUAACCGCCAAAAAUACCAAACUUCGGAAAUUCACAAACCUAUCCAAAUCUCAUCCAAAAAUUCCAUAAAUCACACCAAUAUACUCCUCUUAAUAUUCCACAUCAAAAACCACAAAAUUUCCCAAAACAGCAGCGGCGGCCGGCGACCAACUCCGGCGACCUGCAAAAGCUACCAAAUUUUAACAGAAUCUUCCUCUCAAUCUCCUCUACAACUUUCAUGA
rnacentral:lncRNA from 1 species